AAUGAUUCGCAAUGGAGGCAGGCCUGCCGGAUCAACGCAGGGUGGGUGAGGAAUGUAUGCGGAUGGUAAACAACCUCUUUCAGGGAAGAAGUUCAGACGGUACACGAGGAAUCAGCAUCGGGUAAAUCUGUGCCAGCAGCCGCGGUAUGACGGAGGAGGCAAGCGUUAUCUUGAAAUAUUGGGGGUAAAAAGUCCGUAGGCGGUUAAUCAAGUGUCAGGUCAAAAAUCCCAGGUCUCAACCCGAAAGGCACUGGAAAUAGAAUCAGUGGAGUGAUGUAGGGGUAGAGGGAAUUUUCAGAGUAGCGGGGAAAAGUUUAGAUAUUGUGAAGAACACCCCAGGGGAAGGGGCUGUUCUGGGCCUUAAUAGAGGCUGAGGGAUGAAAAAUAGGGGAGAGAAAGCGAUUUGAUACCCCUGUAGUCUUCGCUCUA
rnacentral:rRNA from 1 species